GGUUACCAGCUUCAGGCUUGGCUUUGAAGAGAAGCUGGUGCCAGUGGUUUUGUGUGUUGUGAUGUGAGUGCUGCUGCAGGGAGCUGAGCAGAGAGCAUGGGCCAGCUGGAAAACCACGAUAUGAGAGUGAGUUGAAUACUGGAACUUAAAUGGGCUGUUUAAAGUCUCAGGGAGGCCUCUAAAUAAGAUUCAGAAAAGCCAUUUAAGAAAGCCAGAGGCUAUGGAUUUGUUCCAGAUUAAGAUACAUCAGGUUUGACCAGACAAGACCCCUUGAAAGGUCUCCGAUGAUACCAUGGCCCAAAUGAUCCAACAUCCAGAAUGGUUUGAAGGCAUCUGGCUCAGACAACAAGCCUCAAUGAAUGUUCCAUAAUUCUAAAAUUUUCUUUGUGUCCCCAUAAGAUAUAGAGUCCCCCUCCAGCAGGAAGUAGUAAGAGAAGCUAUGCCCAAAUUCCCAAAUUAUAUGUAAUUUUACUUUGUUAAGGUUAAAACAUUCCUUUCUGGAAAAAAGAAAGAAAGAAAAGGGGAAGUGCUGUGGGGUGGUCUGUAUGUCAAGUGUGUUGCUGAUUGGUCAAUAAAUAAAUCACUGAUUGGCCAGUGGCCAGGCAGGAAGUAUAGGUGGGACAAGGAGGAGAAUAAAGCUGGAAAGUGGAAGGCUGAGUCAGAGACACUGCCAACCGCCACGAUGACAAACAGCAUGUGAAGAUACCGGUAAGCCACGAGCCAUGUGGCAAGGUAUAGAUUUAUAGAAAUGGAUUAAUUUAAGCUGUAAGAACAGUUAGCAAGAAGCCUGCCACGGCCAUACAGUUUGUAAGCAAUAUAAGUCUCUGUGUUUACUUGGUUGGGUCUGAGCGGCUGUGGGACUGGCAGGUGAGAGAGAUUUGUCCUGACUGUGGGCCAGGCAGGAAAACUCUAGCUACAGGAGGCAGUGUGUCACUGUGGGGUUGGGCUUUGUGGUCUCAUUAUAUGCUCAAACCAUGUCCAGUAUCCAAGCCCACUCCCUAUUGCCUGCAUGUAAAGAUGUAUAAUGCCCUGCUCCUUCUCCAGCACCAUGUCUGCCUGCACCCUACCAUGUUGCACCAUGAUGAUAAUGAACAAAACCUCUGAAAAUGUAAGCCACCUCAAUUAAAUGUUUUUUCUUUAUUAAUAUUGCCAUGGUCCAGGUGUCUCUUCACAACAAUAGAAACCCUAACUAAGGCAGCAUAUGAUUCAUUACCCUUUAGAGAGGAAAUAUUAUAAGAAACACUGCUAAUUUUACUUUAGACAGAAUCACAUUAUGUAUAGGCUUGUGUAUUGCUCAUGUGGUAUUAGUCAAAAUUCUAGUAAUCCACUAUGGUCAUUCUUUAUUUCCUGUAACAUACAAUAACAGCUACUUCACUCCUUGUGCUAAUAGCACAAUAAAUAAUAGCAUAAUUGUGUA